rnacentral:rRNA from 1 species
AGCGGCGGACGGGUGAGUAACGCGUAGGAAUCUACCUAGUAGAAGGGGAUAGCCCGGGGAAACUCGGAUUAAUACCGUAUACCUCCUUUGGGAGAAAGAGGGCCUCUCUUUGAUGCUCUCGCUACUAGAUGAGCCUGCGUAAGAUUAGCUAGUUGGUGAGGUAAUGGCUCACCAAGGCGACGAUCUUUAGCUGGUCUGAGAGGACGAUCAGCCACAUUGGGACUGAGACACGGCCCAGACUCCUACGGGAGGCAGCAGUAGGGAAUAUUGGACAAUGAGCGCAAGCUUGAUCCAGCCAUACCGCGUGUGUGAAGAAGGCCUUCGGGUUGUAAAGCACUUUAAGCAGGGAGAAAAAGUUAUAGGCUAAUACCCUAUGACCGUGAUGUUACCUGCAGAAUAAGCACCGGCUAAUUCCGUGCCAGCAGCCGCGGUAAUACGGAAGGUGCAAGCGUUAAUCGGAAUUACUGGGCGUAAAACGCGCGUAGGUGGUUUGUUAAGUUGGAUGUGAAAGCCCUGGGCUCAACCUAGGAACUGCAUCCAAAACUAACUCGCUAGAGUACGAUAGAGGGAGGUAGAAUUCAUAGUGUAGCGGUGGAAUGCGUAGAUAUUAUGAAGAAUACCAGUGGCGAAGGCGGCCUCCUGGAUCUGUACUGACACUGAGGUGCGAAAGCGUGGGUAGCGAACAGGAUUAGAUACCCUGGUAGUCCACGCCGUAAACGAUGACAACUAGCUGUUGGGAGACAAUGUCUUUCAGUGGCGCAACUAACGUUUUAAGUUGUCCGCCUGGGGAGUAC